GAUGAACGCUAGCGGCAGGCUUAAUACAUGCAAGUCGAGGGGCAGCGCGGGUAGCAAUACCUGGCGGCGACCGGCAAACGGGUGCGGAACACGUACGCAACCUUCCCAUAACUGGUGAAUAGCCCUCCGAAAGGAGGAUUAAUACACCGUAACAUAACGAAGAGGCAUCUUUUUGUUAUUAUAGUAGCAAUACGGUUUUGGAUGGGCGUGCGCCUGAUUAGGUAGUUGGCGGGGUAACGGCCCACCAAGCCUGCGAUCAGUAACUGGUGUGGGAGAACGACCAGUCACACGGGCACUGAGACACGGGCCCGACUCCUACGGGAGGCAGCAGUAAGGAAUAUUGGUCAAUGGACGAAAGUCUGAACCAGCCAUGCCGCGUGAAGGAUUAAGGCCCUCUGGGUUGUAAACUUCUUUUAUCUGGGACGAAAAAAGGGCAUUCUUGCUCACUUGACGGUACCAGAGGAAUAAGCACCGGCUAACUCCGUGCCAGCAGCCGCCGUAA
rnacentral:rRNA from 1 species